rnacentral:lncRNA from 1 species
GUUGCUGGAAAUUGGACCCGGGGGCCGCCGCGAAGCCGGGGAAGGAGGGGCUUCCGCCGCAGGGGCGGUGAUCGACGGCGCGCCGACUGGUGGCGUCCUCCUGGAGGGGCAGAGCUCCGCCGCUGGAAGGGUGGUCGACGGUGCGCCGGCUGGUCGCGUCCUCCACUGUGGGGUGCGAGUCCUGCAGGAAGAACCGGUGGCCGGGCUCUCCGGCGCCGGCCCUCCGAUGCCUAAGUCAGAGGGGGCGAAUAUGUGGAGAGAGCGGGGAAGAGAGUAUGUGGAGAAGACAGAGAGAAUAUUUGGAUAAAAUCAAGAGGAUCAGUUUUCUCAAUUGUCUGUGUUGUUUACUUCUUUCCACCCGGUCUAGGAGGGUUCUCUCCGGCUUCGGGUUUUUCCUCCCGUUUUUGUCCCCCCUCCCUUUUUCCCUCCAGGUUUCCUUUUAUAGAAGGAUUUUUGUUACCUGGGAGGUGACAGGAGGUUUGUCCUGUUUUGUAAUAAUUGGGCACGAUUUGGCCCAUUAAUGGCGUGGUGGAAAAUAAGGUCGAAUCAGACCGGAACCAGGGAGUUGUCACGGUCGAUCGGACCUGUUGGGGUGGUUGAACCGCCGGCCGUGGUAGGCCUAGGGUCCGUGGAUGGUAAGUGCAUUUAUUACCGAGUGAUCCGGCGGUCAGGGAGAGCCAUACGCUUUGAUAGUUCAGUGAUCCGGAGAUCGCCUUGAGCCGUGUUCAUUAAAUGACUGAGUGCAUCGGAGACUCGAGGGGGUCUCAUGCAUUAAUGGCAGGUCGUGCCGAAUACCUGCGGAGAUCUUAUGCCUUGAUGGCUUGGAGAUAGCGGCAGGUUGUAGUGGAGUUGUCAG